rnacentral:rRNA from 1 species
GAUGAACGCUAGCUACAGGCUUAACACAUGCAAGUCGAGGGACCGGCGCACGGGUGAGUAACACGUAUCCAACCUGCCCUUUACUCGGGGAUAGCGUUUCGAAAGAAAGAUUAAUACCCGAUGUAAAGGAUGGGGAUGCGUUCCAUUAGGUUGUUGGUGAGGUUACGGCUCACCAAGCCUUCGAUGGAUAGGGGUUCUGAGAGGAAGGUCCCCCACAUUGGAACUGGGACCCGGUCCAAACGCCUACGCGAGGCAGCAGUUAGGAAUAUAGGUCGAUGGGCGUUAGCCUGACCCAGCCAAGUAGCGUAAAGGGUUCUGGCUUAGUGGUCGUAAUCUUCUUUUAUAUAAGAAUAUGUAUUAAAUGAAUAAGGAUCGGCUAACUCCGUGCCAGCAGCCGCGGUAAUAC